AAUUAAAAAUCCUUGACUAAAUCUCAAUGUCUAUACAUUGAGAUUAAGUCAAAUAUCUAAGUAAAUGUGUAUUUCAUAAAAUAAUGAAAGUAUCAAAUUUAUAUUAAUUUCGUAGUAUAUUCAGUGUCAACAACUAAAAAAUGUUUAAGUUUGCCGCGGUUUUGUUGUGCCACGACUCACUAGACAGACAUUACUUACUUCGAUAAAACCGUAGUCUACACUUUACAGACAGACCUACUUACGAGCUGUUUCCAGAGCUAGGCGGCUCCUCCCAUUGUGCAUCACUUUCCACCGCGCUACUCUCCGAAGCCACAAGCAGGUACGUAGAGGUGCGGGGGCGGAGGCGCGGCGCGGCGCGACGCCGAGCGAGCGCGCCGAGCGCGGGACGCACGACCCAGCAACACCGAUUCUGUACAAAAUUAUAAGUAUUUAGAAAUGGGGUCGCUGUCGCUGUGCUCCUGCCGCUCGCGCCGCCAGCCGGAGUCAGGCGCAGGCGCGUCGGCGACCACCCCGAACAACCCUGACACUGCGCCCGCCGCCAUCUUGCGGGCUGAUUUUGCUGCCAUCUGACAAAUUUAUAAAUGGGAAAUAGAGAUAGAAGAUAAAUUUCCUGCUUUGUCAUAAAUGGUUGGUGGAUGGAAAAAUAACAGGUAAGUAGCAGUCUGUCAAGAAAGCAAGGAUAAUAAAUGAGGGCACUGUCUCCUGUUGCCAAAACUGGGUGUUUAUGAACCAGUAACACCUAAACUUUUAUGUCUUUGGUAUGGGACAAGACAACAAUCUAAUAUGAUCGGCAACAUACAAAACCAUAGCUUGACACUUGGAUGUUGUCGUCUGGAGAAAAUAAACAUUUAAAUAUCUAUUUAAUAUUAAUUUUUUUAUUACUUACGCUGACAUUGAUGUCAAUCUCUGGUAUGCCGGUCAAAUCAGCCGCCUUCACCGCGAGCUCCCUGACGUGGGGAUCGUUGGCACCCUGCUUUUCCACCAGAGUCACCAGCUCGUACAAGUAAUCCCGAAAUAUCUCCUCUGGAACUGAAGACACGGGGAUUAAGAAUUAUGAGAAUGUUAUGUAAGCGGUGUUUGUAUGUUGAUCUUUUGUCAUUUCUAUUCCAAAAUUUAAACAUGAUUUGCGUAUAGUUUUACAUUUAAAUUAAGUGUAGUAAGAUCUUGCCCACGUAUUACUUUCUACAUAAUUACUAAUAUGUGGUUUACCGCAGGCAGGGUACAGCUCUAGAUCUACAUUAAUGUAUGAAAUAUCAUUAGGAUGUAAUGUAAUCAUGAUUACUAACCUUCAAAAAGCAUUUCUUUUGGCUUCUCUUGAGGUAUCGGUGUCUGCACCACUUGAGCUUGUCCAGGUGGUGGAACUGAAGUACUCUGGACUUUAGGAACAACUGGGAGUUGACCAACAGGAGUCGCAGGAGUUAUACUGAUACUAUCCAUUGGUUUUGUUUCUAAACUGGUUUUACUUGGAGCUAUCGUAGGAGGCUGGACAUUUUGGGCAGGGACGUUGAGUUGGUGGGGAGAGACGGGAAGUUGUUGAGUGGGGAUUGCUGAAGCUGGCACCUUUGGGGCCGAUUUUCCGUUGACCAGCAGAUCUGGAGUGGGUUGCUUUUGAGCUUCUGAAAUGGAGAUCGUAAUUCUGAUUUGGAUCAGAUUGAGAUUGGAAAGGAUCUAAAUAGACUAGCCUAUUUCUAAUGCAUAACUAAGUUAAUUGAACCUGUACCCGGUUAUAAAAUUUUGUAAACUCUAGCCUAUUGUGUUGUGAAGCAAACCAUUCCUGAGCCAAAAGGAUAGCUCAGGGAUUCGUUUUCCAUAAUUGUAUUCUAUCUAUGACAUUUGAGCAUUUUCUUUUCACUCUAAAAAUAUAACUCACCAGCAGUCCCAAGUUCGAGUUCUGUGAAGGCCAUGACAUUGAGGGCAGAUGACAGCGCCGGAGCGACACCGUCUCCCACUUCUGACGUCAGCACCGCGUCUGCUGACACCACACAGUCUGGUGGUGGCCCUGCACCUCGUCUUCUGCAAUAACGAUGUUUUCGUGUAUUUAUCUAUUCAUAUACAUUAGUUAUAAGUUUUUUUUCUCAUAGACCGGUGAAUGUAGCCAUAGCACCCUAAAGAUUCUCUACUACAUCCAAAAGUACCUACUUAAUUGCAUUUAGACUAGCUUUAUCUUUAUCGAUAAGUUUUUAAUUUGUGGUUUCUGUUAUGAAUAUUUCGUUCUUACGGAGGCGGCACUUUAGUCGGCGUAGAUAUGGAGACCCGUCCCCACAUGAGGCGUCUCAACUCCUCACCGCUGAUCCCCUUCCUGCGCAGUUCGGCUAUCGUCACUCUGCCGACACGCUGGAAAUAAAAAUACUCUAUAACUCAUUAAUGGAAAUGACGCUUUAUUCCGACAGGAAAUUUAUCUUCUAAUGAUUUUUAAUCAGUCAGUUUCGAACUAUGAUUUGAUAUAUCGAAAAUUAUUAUUUGAUAUAUGAUUUUGGUAUAUCGAAAAUGUAGUGAUGGGGUAAGAAAUUUUGUAUCUCAAUAGUCUCAAAGGCUUUUAGUAAGUUUUCAAGACACUACACAAUAUAUGCGUCACGUUACCUUCCAAUUAGUCAAAGCCCCCUUCCUCUGGUUAGCCCUGGUCUUGGGUUUGCAUUUGAUCACCAUGACGGCGCGUUGCUCGUAGCGCGGGUCGUCAGAGGGCCCCAGCCCUAUGGAGUACUCUUGCAGGUAACGAUGAGCGUCUUCCUGAGCUACUGACCGCUCGAGAGACACUACAAUCUUCGCCCACUACAAUCAGGGUAACAAGGAAGGAAAUAUUUAAUAAAAGGCUAAGCAUUAAAUAUAUCUUGAAAUUAAUAAAUAAAUAAUUUUUAUAAGUAUAGUUUUCAAUUGAAGUUGAGAUUUUUACAAUAAAUAGUAGGACUCCACAAGGGUCUCACCUAAGCACUAAGCUUACCUGCUUGACCCAUUCCUUCUCUGAUUGCUCAAUGACAUGCGCAUACGUAUUGCCCAUCAUGGCGAUCAACAUGUUCAGUAGUAGGAUCGGCACAAACACCAUAAAUAUCGUGAAUACUGUCUUUGCUAGGUUCGGGUACGUGGUCAAACCAAGGUCUGUGUACUGGACAAAAAUAUGUUUUAGUUUGAUACAUUAGUUGUUUAGAAUUGUGUUUUAUACUCAAUAAACCGUAAACUUACGCUGUAAUCUCCAAGUGUAAUUUGAAAUAAUGCCAUCCAAGUACUCGGAUAGCUGGAAAACAAAGUGGUUUGAACGUUGGGGAAUCCUGAAAAGAAAUUAACACAAUUUGCCAAUAAAGAAAUAAAAUAAAUGAAUAAUACUUACCUACUUUAUUAAAUAGACUCAUUACCAUUACAGUAAAUAUCGACAACGACAGAAAAGUCCGAAGGUGGUAAAUAAAAUCAAAAUACGUUAAAUAAGAUUAGUAACAAAACCAAUAAGUAUAAUACCUGCUGAUGCAUGCUGUAUAAUAGAAUUACGAACAAUAUUCGUAUAGGUACUAACCUCUGUACAAGAAGUAGAAGGACUGAGAGAAGCCGAACAGAAUGAUGCAGUAGAUGAUGCCGAAGGUGAACAUGUCACCGGUGAUCAUGCUGUAGAUCAUUGUCACGAAUGGGCCGGUCAGUUUCACUGCACUGGAAAUGAAAUACAUAGAUUCACACACCUUAAAUUUGAAGCACCUCGUCUGCUGACUCCCUGAACUGUAUUAGCUAAACUCGAAAGACACAUGACGAUUAUAAUAAUAUAACCUCAGAUUAUAUUAUACAUAAUAUUCUAAUUACUUUUCUGGUACCUAGUUUAACAUUUCGGCUGACGUUAAAUUAGAUACAAUCAAAAUUAAGCAUGCAUAGUUGUCAGCAAAGGUAAGAUUAUGGUGAGACGAUGAAAGUAAAGGAGAAGGAAAGAGCACUCACCCAGCAAAGAACAUCAGUAAGAACCAAGAGCCAGGCAGAACAAAGAUGAGUAUCGCCUCCUCCACCAUGCUUUGCUUGGACAGCCGCGCUGGGAUGCACGCCAACAGUAGUAUGUUUGACGACAGGAAGAUCAAUUUAGCGGGCUCAUGAAUCUGGAAGGAUAAUAUAGCACAACGUGCUGACUAUCGUCCCCAGCUCGCUGGCGAGCCGGACGCCGCCCCUCACGUCCCUCACCUCGAGCCCCCAGUCCGGAUUGGCUUCGGCCUCCGCGCUGCUGUGGCGAAGGUACACCGCCACGGAUAGCAGCACCCACCUUCGUAUCGCAGAUGAUGAGCACAUGCAGCAGGGACUCUCCCAGAGCUCCUCGGUAGGACAUCUGCCAGCAGGCCAUGUGGUCCUCCCAUUUGGCGAGGGGGUCGUGCGGGGAGAGGGAC